CGUUAAAUAAAAUCACUCCCGAAACCGUGACACAGUCCCUGUUUCAAGUGAACCUAGUUCCUAGCCGCACAGCCCAUCCCCUUCCCGGCCCCUGCUUCCCGUUGCACCGGAGAGAGAGAGAGGGAGAGAGCCGGGAGUCGGAGAAGAAGAAGAAGAAGGGUGAAAGGAGUGGGUGUCUUCAAAAAGGCACAUGGCCCAGAGAAACGACAAAGCUAGGUAAUGAUAACUUGCUGGUAGAUGAAUCUGUCUUGAAGCCAUCACUUUGUCACUUCAUAUUUAAGGUUUUGUUUCUGUUGAAAAAAAAAAUGCUAGGUUCUUUGCCGAUCUUGCCCCUCCCUGCUCCUCCUCUUGAUGGAAAUCUUGGCCCUCUUCCUGCAUCUCAAGUGUCUGAUGAGCAGCAGGAUGAAACACCUUCAAACGAGGAGCAGAUCAAAGCUAACUUGGCGCCUUCAACAGUUGCAACCCACACAAGAACCAUUGGAAUUAUUCAUCCUCCCCCAGACAUCAGAACCAUUGUUGACAAAACUGCUCAGUUUGUUUCAAAGAAUGGACCAGAGUUUGAAAAGAGGAUUAUUGCAAAUAAUGCUGGCAAUGCGAAGUUCAAUUUCUUGAAUGCAUCGGAUCCCUACCAUGCAUAUUAUCAACAUCGGUUGUCCGAAUUUCGUGCUCAAAAUCUGUCUUCUGCUCAGCAGCCUACUGAUUCUGCUGUGCCUGAUUUGCUCCCAUCUGCCCCAGCUGCUGAUGGUAAUGAAGCGGCAGCAGCAAAGGUUGAUCUGUCUGCGCAGUUCAAACCUGUUCGUAAAGUUCUUGAGCCCCCGGAAGCUGAGCAGUAUACCGUUCGGCUUCCUGAAGGGAUUACUGGUGAAGAACUUGAGAUAAUUAAGCUCACUGCUCAGUUUGUGGCCCGAAAUGGGAAAUCUUUCUUGACAGGAUUGACAAGCAGGGAAAUCAAUAACCCCCAGUUCCAUUUUUUGAAGCCAACCCACAGUAUGUUCAUGUUUUUCACUUCGCUUGCUGAUGCAUAUUCAAAAGUCUUAAUGCCUCCAAAGGGUUUGACGGAGAAGCUAAAGAAUAGUGUUGCUGACAUGACAACUGUGCUUGAACGAAGUAUGAAUCGUCUCGAGUGGGAGCGUUCACAAGAGCAGGCUAGGCAGAAAGCUGAGGAUGAAAAGGAGCAGGAAAGAAUAGAGAUGGCCAUGAUUGAUUGGCAUGAUUUUGUUGUGGUUGAAAUGAUAGAUUUUGCGGAUGAUGAGGAUGAUGAUUUACCCCCUCCAAUGACCCUGGAGGAGGUUAUAAGGAGAAGUAAGGUGUCAGUUAUGGAAGAAGAUAUUGUUGAGCCAGGAAAGGUGGUGGAGAUGGAAAUGGAUGAAGAAGAAGUGCGGCUUGUUGAAGAGGGAAUGAGGGCAACUAGUAUUGAAGAGAAUGGUGAUGGAAAGAAGAAUGAGAUGAUGGUAACAGAGGAACCAGAGCCACCAAUGCGAAUUGUGAAGAACUGGAAGAGACCAGAGGAUAGGAUCCCUGCAGAAAGAGACCCAACAAAAUUUGUUGUUUCCCCAAUUACUGGUGAGCUAAUCCCCAUUAAUGAGAUGUCCGAACACAUGAGGAUUUCCCUCAUUGAUCCCAAGUACAAAGAGCAGAAAGAAAGGAUGUUUGCUAAGAUUCGUGAGACUACGCUUGCUCAGGACGACGAGAUCUCCAGGAACAUUGUGGGGCUUGCACGAACCCGUCCGGAUAUUUUUGGUACCACAGAGGAAGAAGUCUCUAAUGCUGUCAAGGCUGAGAUUGAGAAGAAGAAAGAUGAGCAACCAAAGCAAGUUAUAUGGGAUGGUCACUCUGGAAGCAUUGGACGCACUGCAAACCAGGCCAUGUCACAAAAUAUUAGUGGAGAGGAUCAAAAUGAUGCUGGUAAUAAUGAUCCAAGAAACCUUCCUGGUCCUGCAGCACUUCCUCCUAGGCCUGGCAUGCCAUCAGUUCGUCCACUUCCUCCUCCACCUGGACUAGCCUUGAAUCUUCCUCGUGUGCCCCCAAACACAGUCCAGUAUUCUGCUCCAACUAAUGUCGGGCUCCCUGUACCCCCACCCAGGCCACCAGUUAUGCCAAUGAUUCCUUCAGUUCGGCCACCUCCACCUCCAAUGACAAUGACUUCUGGACAGCAAUCUCUUUUGGUGAAUCGACCACCCCAAAUGCCACCAUCAAUAUCUAUGAAUGCUACUAAUAUUCCUGUACCGCCUCCACCUGGUUCCCAGUUUAUGCAUGUGCCAGUUCCCCGAUCUUUUGUUCCUCUUGCUGUGCAUCAACCUACCAUGCCUAUGAUGCCCCCACCGCCUUUGCCUCAAGGAAUGCCUCCACCGCCACCACCUGAGGAAGCUCCUCCACCGCUUCCGAAUGAACCAGAGCCAAAGAGGCAGAAGCUCGAUGAUUCUUUGCUUAUUCCAGAAGACCAGUUUCUUGCUCAGCAUCCGGGGGCUGUUCGAAUCACUGUCUCUGUUCCCAAUGUUGAUGAAGGAAAUCUCAAAGGGCAGCUUCUGGAGAUUACAGUGCAGUCUUUAUCUGAAACUAUUGGCAGUCUGAAGGAGAAAAUUGCAGGGGAUAUCCAGCUUCCUGCCAAUAAACAGAAAUUGAGUGGAAAACCUGGCUUUCUCAAGGACAAUAUGUCGCUGGCAUAUUACAACAUUGGAGCAGGAGAAACGCUUAACCUUUCUUUAAGAGAGCGUGGUGGUAGAAAAAGAUGAACAGCUUUCUUGACCGGGGCAUUUAAGAUUUUGAACUCCAGUCUUAUUGUGCUUUUCAUUUCCAAUUUCGUUGCUGCAAGUUUUGCUCUUGGUGAACGUAGUGAUGGAAGCAUGGAUCAGGUUUCAUUGCAGUUUCAUGAUAGAGAUUAGAGGCAGCAGAUAAAUCUAAUUUUUGUUCUCUCAUAUACUAUAAAUUAGAUUUUUGUGUAUUAUUUUGAACUUGUAUAGAGCAAGACUAAGGCCUUGCUAUGUUGUUUAUGAGAUUAGUUGAAUGGAGAAUUGGUCUGAGAAAAUGAAACAAUGUACCUAUUUAAGUGUUUUA